rnacentral:rRNA from 1 species
AUGGAGUUUUCGCUGUCUGAACUCGAACAUUUGAGUUCAGACUUAUUUGCUUGGCACUGGCUCCCUUCUAGUGGGAGCGCAGGCCACUCGGGUGGUAUCCUUCUAGGUGUCAAGGAUGCCACCUUUGAGGUUGGUAGCAUGGACCGUGGUGAGUUCUUCGUCAGCAUGGAAAUCUUUGAGCGGGCCCUCAACUUCAAAUGGGAGGUCAUUGCCGUUUAUGGACCGGCGGACCAUAGCCGCUCAGAGACCUUCCUCGCUGAGAUCCGAGCGAAAGUCUUGGCCGCCCAGCUUCCGGUAGUGUUGGGUGGAGACUUUAACCUCAUCCAGUCCGAGGAGGAUAAAAGCAAUAAUUUGGUCAACUUUCCCCGGAUGCAAAUGUUUAACGACUGCAUCGCGGAAAUGGGGCUCCGGGAACUUGAUAGGGUCGGCGCCAGAUUCACCUGGACUAACUGCCAGGCCGGCCCGACUUGGUCGGUCCUAGACCGGGUGUUUGUCUCCCCGGAAUGGGACUUGCGGUGCCCCCUCGCGUCGCUGCGCGCGAUUACUAGGAUCGGUUCCGACCAUGACCCUCUACUUCUCUCCUCUGAGAACGAGCGACCCCCCCAACCACCCCGCUUUCAUUUUGAGACAUUCUGGCUGAAUAAGCCCGGGUUCGCUGCUGCGGUUGCCGCUCGGUGGUGGGAGGCUCGGGAGACACCCCACCGCUCCCUCUCGGCCGUCGACUCCUGGCAUUUUUGUGCUAAACGGUCGCGCCAAUUCAUGAAAGGGUGGGGUGCUAAAUUAGGCCGCGACCUCCGCGAGCGGAAGAUAACUCUUCUUGAGGGCAUCCAGGCACUAGACCUUCGGGCAGAUGCCGCGGGCCUCUCGGCUGAGGAAUGGAUGCUUAGAUACGACUUGGAAGAUCAACUCACGAUCAUUUACACGGACGAGGAGGCAUUCUGGCGCCUCCGAGGUACGCAGAAUUGGGUCCUCAAGGGGGACGCCAAUACAGCUUACUUUCAGGCAAUCGCCAACGGCCGCUGA